UACGUAGGGUCCGAGCGUUGUCCGGAAUUAUUGGGCGUAAAGGGCUCGUAGGCGGUUUGUCGCGUCGGGAGUGAAAACACGGGGCUUAACCCCGUGCCUGCUUCCGAUACGGGCAGACUAGAGGUAUGCAGGGGAGAACGGAAUUCCUGGUGUAGCGGUGAAAUGCGCAGAUAUCAGGAGGAACACCGGUGGCGAAGGCGGUUCUCUGGGCAUUACCUGACGCUGAGGAGCGAAAGCGUGGGGAGCGAACCGG
rnacentral:rRNA from 1 species